rnacentral:rRNA from 1 species
UGGGGGAUAUUGCACAAUGGGCGAAAGCCUGAUGCAGCGACGCCGCGUGGGGGAUGAAGGCUUUCGGGUUGUAAACCUCUUUCGCUAUCGAACAAGGCCCGCUUAGGGUGGGUUGAGGGUAGGUGGAGAAGAAGCGCCGGCUAACUACGUGCCAGCAGCCGCGGUAAUACGUAGGGCGCGAGCGUUGUCCGGAAUUAUUGGGCGUAAAGGGCUUGUAGGCGGCUUGUUGCGCCUGCUGUGAAAACGCGGGGCUUAACUUCGCGCGUGCAGUGGGUACGGGCAGGCUUGAGUGUGGUAGGGGUGACUGGAAUUCCAGGUGUAGUGGUGGAAUGCGCAGAUAUCUGGAGGAACACCGAUGGCGAAGGCAGGUCACUGGGCCAUUACUGACGCUGAGGAGCGAAAGCAUGGGUAGCGAACAGG